rnacentral:misc_RNA from 1 species
CCGAGUUUUCAACUCCCUAACCCUUAUGUGAACCUACCUAUUGUUGCUUCGGCGGACUCGCCCCAGCCGGACGCGGACUGGACCGGCGGCCGCCGGGGACCCUCAAACUCUUGUAUUAUCAGCAUCUUCUGAAUACGCCGCAAGGCAAAACAAAUAAAUCAAAACUUUCAACAACGGAUCUCUUGGCUCUGGCAUCGAUGAAGAACGCAGCGAAAUGCGAUAAGUAAUGUGAAUUGCAGAAUCCAGUGAAUCAUCGAAUCUUUGAACGCACAUUGCGCCCGCCAGCAUUCUGGCGGGCAUGCCUGUUCGAGCGUCAUUUCAACCCUCGACCUCCCUUUGGGGAAGUCGGCGUUGGGGACCGGCAGCACACCGCCGGCCCUGAAAUGGAGUGGCGGCCCGUCCGCGGCGACCUCUGCGUAGUAAUCCAACUCGCACCGGAACCCCGACGCGGCCACGCCGUAAAACACCCAACUUCUGAACGUU